CCUACGGGGUGCAGCAGUGGGGAAUAUUGCUCAAUGGGGGAAACCCUGAUGCAGCGACGCCGCGUGAGGGAAGAAGUAUCUCUGGACGUAAAGCUCCAUCUGUAGGGAAGUAAAUGACGGUACGUGACUAAGUAUCCCCGGCUAACGACAUGCCAGCAGCCGCGGUCACACGGAGGGCGCCAGCGUUAUCCGGAUGUACUGGGUGUAAAGGGGGCGUAGACGGGUGCAGAAGGCUGGAGUGAAAACCCGGGGCUUAACCGCGGAACUGCUUUGGAAACUGGGCGGCUGGCGUGAAGGAGGGGUAUGCGGAAUUCGUGGUGUAGCGGUGAAAUGCGUAGAUAUUAGGAGGAACACCGAUGGCGAAGGCGGCUUACUGGACUGUAACUGACGUUGAGGCUCGAAAGCGUGGGGAGCAAACAGGAUUAGAUACCCGGGUAGUC
rnacentral:rRNA from 1 species